rnacentral:rRNA from 1 species
GACGAACGCUGGCGGCGUGCUUAACACAUGCAAGUCGAACGGAAAGGCCCUGCUUUUGUGGGGUGCUCGAGUGGCGAACGGGUGAGUAACACGUGAGUAACCUGCCCUUGACUUUGGGAUAACUUCAGGAAACUGGGGCUAAUACCGGAUAGGAGCUCCUGCUGCAUGGUGGGGGUUGGAAAGUUUCGGCGGUUGGGGAUGGACUCGCGGCUUAUCAGCUUGUUGGUGGGGUAGUGGCUUACCAAGGCUUUGACGGGUAGCCGGCCUGAGAGGGUGACCGGCAACAUGGGGAUGGGGAAAGGGCCAAGAUGCAACGGGGGGGAAGAGGGGGGGAAAAUUGAAAAAGGGGGGGAGGCCUGAGGCAGAAAGGCGGGGGGGGGGAGAAGGGCUUUGGGGUGGAAACCGCUUUCGCCUGUGACGAAGCGUGAGUGACGGUAAUGGGUAAAGAAGCACCGGCUAACUACGUG